rnacentral:rRNA from 1 species
GACAUGGGUGGCAAACGUUAUCCGGAAUUAUUGGGCGUAAAGGGUGCGUAGGUGGUUUAAUAAGUUAUUGGUGGGAAAACGGGGCUCAACCCCGUGGAAGCUAGUAAUACUAUUGAACUAGAGGAUCGGAGAGGUUAACGGAAUGGCUCGCGUAGGGGUAAAAUCCGUAAAUAUCGGGAGGAACACCAAUGGCGAAGGCAGCUCGCUGGGACGUGACUGACGCUGAGACGCGAAAGCGUGGGGAGCAAACAGG